AUUGAACGCUGGCGGCAUGCCUUACACAUGCAAGUCGAACGGCAGCACGGGUGCUUGCACCUGGUGGCGAGUGGCGAACGGGUGAGUAAUACAUCGGAACGUACCUUAUCGUGGGGGAUAACGCAGCGAAAGCUGUGCUAAUACCGCAUACGCCCUGAGGGGGAAAGCGGGGGAUCGAAAGACCUCGCGCGAUUAGAGCGGCCGAUGCCUGAUUAGCUUGUUGGUGGGGUAAAAGCCCACCAAGGCGACGAUCAGUAGCUGGCCUGAGAGGACGAUCCGCCACACUGGGACUGAGACACGGCCCAGACUCCUACGGGAGGCAGCAGUGGGGAAUUUUGGACAAUGGGGGCAACCCUGAUCCAGCAAUGCCGCGUGAGUGAAGAAGGCCUUCGGGUUGUAAAGCUCUUUUGUCAGGGAAGAAACACCGGCUCUAACACAGUCCGGGAAUGACGGUACCUGAAGAAUAGGCACCGGCUAACUACGUGCCAGCCGCCGCAGUAA
rnacentral:rRNA from 1 species